CUCGCGCUGUAAGUUUGAUUCUGGCUCAGAUUGAACGCUGGCGGCAGGCUUAACACAUGCAAGUCGAGCGGGGAAAGGUAGCUUGCUACCUAACCUAGCGGCGGACGGGUGAGUAAUGCUUAGGAAUCUGCCUAUUAGUGGGGGACAACAUUCCGAAAGGAAUGCUAAUACCGCAUACGCCCUACGGGGGAAAGCAGGUGAUCUUCGGACCUUGCGCUAAUAGAUGAGCCUAAGUCAGAUUAGCUAGUUGGUGGGGUAAAGGCCUACCAAGGCGACGAUCUGUAGCGGGUCUGAGAGGAUGAUCCGCCACACUGGGACUGAGACACGGCCCAGACUCCUACGGGAGGCAGCAGUGGGGAAUAAUUGGACAAUGGGCGAAAGCCUGAUCCAAGCCAUGCCGCGUGUGUGAAGAAGGCCUUAUUGGUUGUAAAGCACUUUAAGCGAGGAGGAGGCUACUUAGAUUAAUACUCUAGGAUAGUGGACGUUACUCGCAGAAUAAGCACCGGGCUAACUCUGUGCCAGCAGCCGCGGUAAUACAAGAGGGUGCGAGCGUUAAUCGGAUUUACUGGGCGUAAAGCGUGCGUAGGCGGCUUCUUAAGUCGGAUGUGAGAUCCCUGAGCUUAACUUUAGGAAUUGCCUUCGAUACUGGGAAGCUAGAGUAUGGGAGAGGAUGGUAGAAUUCCAGGUGUAGCGGUGAAAUGCGUAGAGAUCUGGAGGAAUACCGAUGGCGAAGGCAGCCAUCUGGCCUAAUACUGACGCUGAGGUACGAAAGCAUGGGGAGCAAACAGGAUUAGAUACCCUGGUAGUCCAUGCCGUAAACGAUGUCUACUAGCCGUUGGGGCCUUUGAGGCUUUAGUGGCGCAGCUAACGCGAUAAGUAGACCGCCUGGGGAGUACGGUCGCAAGACUAAACUCUAAAUGAAUUGGCGGAAGGGCGAAUUCGCGCUACAUCCAUUCGGUUCGCCCUAUA
rnacentral:rRNA from 1 species